rfam:Oryza glaberrima chromosome 3 Oglab03_0064_14, whole genome shotgun sequence.
UUUAAGUGCAACAAUGAGUUUCCACGUCUAAUUUUAGUCGUCCAUCUUAUUUGAAAUUUUUUGUAGUUAGUAUUUUUGUUGUUAUGAGAUGAUAAAAUAUGAAUAAUACUUUAUGCAAGACUUGUGUUUUUAAUUUCUUUUAAAAAAAUUUAAAUAAGACGGAUGAAUAAAGUUGGGCACGGAAACUCAUGGCUAUAUUUAAA